rnacentral:tRNA from 1 species
GCCGGUUUAGCUCAGAUGGUAGAGCGCCUGAUUUGUAAUCAGGAUGUCGCGAGUUCGAAUCUUGCAACCGGCACCA